rnacentral:rRNA from 1 species
CACCACAACAGGUGGAGCCUGCGGUUUAAUCGGACUCAAACGCCGGGAAACUCACCAGAUAAGACAGCUGAAUGAUAGUCGGGCUGAAGACUCUACUUGACUAGCUGAGAGGAGGUGCAUGGCCGUCGUCAGUUCGUACUGUGAAGCAUCCUGUUAAGUCAGGCAACGAGCGAGACCCACGCCAACAGUUGCCAGCUCGUCCUCCGGGAUGGUGGGGACACUGUUGGGACCGCCUCUGCUAAAGAGGAGGAAGGAAUGGGCAACGGUAGGUCAGCAUGCCCCGAAUUAUCUGGGCUACACGCGGGCUACAAUGGAUGGGACAAUGGGUAUCGACACCGAAAGGUGAAGGCAAUCUCCUAAACCCAUCCGUAGUUCGGAUUGUGGGCUGCAACUCGCCCACAUGAAGCUGGAAUCUGUAGUAAUCGUGUCUCAAAAUGGCACGGUGAAUAUGUCCCUGCUCCUU